rnacentral:rRNA from 1 species
GACGAACGCUGGCGGCGUGCUUAACACAUGCAAGUCGAACGGAAAGGCCCUGCUUUUGUGGGGUGCUCGAGUGGCGAACGGGUGGGUAACACGUGAGUAACCUGCCCUUGACUUUGGGAUAACUUCAGGAAACUGGGGCUAAUACCGGAUAGGAGCUCCUGCUGCAUGGUGGGGGUUGGAAAGUUUCGGCGGUUGGGGAUGGACUCGCGGCUUAUCAGCUUGUUGGUGGGGUAGUGGCUUACCAAGGCUUUGACGGGUAGCCGGCCUGAGAGGGUGACCGGCCACAGUGGGACUGAGAUACGGCCCAGACUCCUACGGGAGGCAGCAGUGGGGAAUAUUGAACAAUGGGCGGAAGCCUGAUGCAGCAACGCCGCGUGCGGGAUGACGGCCUUCGGGUUGUAAACCGCUUUCGCCUGUGACGAAGCGUGAGUGACGGUAAUGGGUAAAGAAGCACCGGCUAACUACGUG